UUUGGCAGCGGUCCAAGUUCCUUGGAACAGGACGUCACAGAGGGUGAGAAUCCCGUACGUGGUCGCUAGCUAUUGCCGUGUAAAGCCCCUUCGACGAGUCGAGUUGUUUGGGAAUGCAGCUCUAAAUGGGAGGUAAAUUUCUUCUAAAGCUAAAUAUUGGCCAGAGACCGAUAGCGCACAAGUAGAGUGAUCGAAAGAUGAAAAGCACUUUGGAAAGAGAGUCAAACAGCACGUGAAAUUGUUGAAAGGGAAGCGCUUGCAGCCAGACUUGCUUGCAGUUGCUCAUCCGGGCUUUUGCCCGGUGCACUCUUCUGCAGGCAGGCCAGCAUCAGUUUGGGCGGUGGGAUAAAGGUCUCUGUCACGUACCUUCCUUCGGGUUGGCCUUAUAGGGGAGACGCCAUACCACCAGCCUGGACUGAGGUCCGCGCAUCUGCUAGGAUGCUGGCGUAAUGGCUGUAAGCGGCCCGUCUUGAAACACGGACCAAGGAGUCUAACAUCUAUGCGAGUGUUUGGGUGUCAAGCCCGAGCGCGUAAUGAAAGUGAACGGAGGUGGGAACCCGCAAGGGUGCACCAUCGACCGAUCCUGAAGUUUACGGAAGGAUUUGAGUAAGAGCAUGGCUGUUGGGACCCGAAAGAUGGUGAACUAUGCUUGAAUAGGGUGAAGCCAGAGGAAACU
rnacentral:rRNA from 1 species